CCUACGGGCGGCAGCAGUGGGGAAUAUUGCACAAUGGGCGCAAGCCUGAUGCAGCCAUGCCGCGUGUGUGAAGAAGGCCUUCGGGUUGUAAAGCACUUUCAGCGGGGAGGAAGGCGGUGAGGUUAAUAACCUCAUCGAUUGACGUUACCCGCAGAAGAAGCACCGGCUAACCCCGUGCCAGCAGCCACGGUAAUACGGAGGGUGCAAGCGUUAAUCGGAAUUACUGGGCGUAAAGCGCACGCAGGCGGUCUGUCAAGUCGGAUGUGAAAUCCCCGGGCUCAACCUGGGAACUGCAUUUGAAACUGGCAGGCUAGAGUCUUGUAGAGGGGGGUAGAAUUCCAGGUGUAGCGGUGAAAUGCGUAGAGAUCUGGAGGAAUACCGGUGGCGAAGGCGACUGCCUGGACCAGUACUGACACUGAGGCACGAAAGCGUGGGGAGCAAACAGGAUUAGAUACCCCGGUAGUC
rnacentral:rRNA from 1 species